UACGGAGGGUGCAAGCGUUAUCCGGAUUUACUGGGUUUAAAGGGUGCGCAGGCGGAUAUGUAAGUCAGUGGUGAAAUCUCCGGGCUUAACCCGGAACUGCCGUUGAUACUAUAUAUCUUGAAUGCUGUGGAGGUGAAGCAGAAUAUGUCAUGUAGCGGUGAAAUGCUUAGAGAUGACAUAGAAUACCUAUUGCGAAGGCAGCUUACUACGCAGAUAUUGACGCUCAUGCACGAAAGCGUGGGGAUCAAACAGG
rnacentral:rRNA from 1 species